CUGGAUCUGUUGCCAUGAAGAAUUGGUGCCAUAUUUUGGUGGUCUGAACAGAGAAGAGAAGAGAAGAGAAGAGAAGAGAAGAGAAGAGAAGAGAAGAGAAGAGAAGAGAAGAGAAGAGAAGAGAAGAGAAGAGAAGAGGAAAAAAUGGCACUUGCAAAUAAAACUGCAAUGUUGAACAUCGUUUAUAACACUUGCAGGCUUCUCCCACCAGGACAGCAGCAUGAGGGCAGGCCCAGCAGCUCAGCAGCCUGGCUUGGAUUAAACCCUUGUUGAAUGGUGGAGACGGAAACAGAGAAAGACAAGACUAUCUGGUUUGGGAUACUGCAGCCAAGAAGCAAACAGAAAGCUUUACUGAAAUGUUUCAAAGCAGAAAAGAGCAAAAAAACCCCCAGCAGAAUAAAGUUCAAGCUGACACCACCAAACUGCGUUUGGUACAGAACAGCCUGUUGCUCGCAGCUGCUUUCAGAGGUGAACAAAACAUUUUGCUGGAUCCAAGGACUCCCUGCUCAGGAAUGGGCUCCCCGCAGGGAUGAUGCACAGCGCCUCGCUGCUCG
rnacentral:lncRNA from 1 species